rnacentral:rRNA from 1 species
GAUGAACGCUGACAGAAUGCUUAACACAUGCAAGUCUUUGGCGAAGCUGUGCUUGCACAGCCUAGCCAAGGCGGACGGGUGAGUAACGCGUAAGGAACUUGCCCUGCAGUCAGGGAUAACAGACGGAAACGACUGAUAAGACCUGGUAAAGUCAGGCGGACUCAUGUCCAGCCUGAUGAAAUGAGAUGCUGCAGGAGAGCCUUGCGUCCUAUUAGCUUGUUGGUGGGGUAACGGCCCACCAAGGCGAUGAUAGGUAGCCGGCCUGAGAGGGUGGACGGCCACAAGGGGACUGAGAUACGGCCCUUACUCCUACGGGAGGCAGCAGUGGGGAAUAUUGGACAAUGGGGGCAACCCUGAUCCAGCAAUUCUGUGUGCACGAUGAAGGUUUUCGGAUUGUAAAGUGCUUUCAGCAGGGAAGAAAAAAAUGACGGUACCUGCAGAAGAAGCGACGGCUAAAUACGUG